GUGCGUCUGGCAGCGCAGGUCCAGCAGCGUGGGCCCCAGAAAGGCGAUGCACAGGCCGAAGCUGAAGAAGACGCUCCAGUAGCUCCGCAUCCCUCCAGCCUCCUUAUCCAGCCCCCUCAGGGUCGGCGGGGCCUGGGCGCCCAUUUCAGAGCUGGGCAAACUGAGAGCCUGAGACAUCCUGUAAGUACACGGAGAGGCUGCGGAGCCGGAUCUCACAGAGCUUUGCCGAGGCUUGGGGAAGCUGCAAGCCCUCCCCAACCCCGAGCCAGCCUGCGUCUGGGCGGUGGAGGAAGCCCCUCCCCCUCCCCUUAAACCUAGGGGCUUCGCAGAUGGACGUCGGGGGGGCUGACAGCGCCCCACCUGUCCUUGAAAUAAAAGGCAAAAUCUACAUACUUUCUUUCCUUGGGAGAACAGUCAUGGCUUUCAUCAGAAAGGUGAUCACUCUGCUCCACAGAAGGGCCUGAGAGCUGGUCUUCACCUGCCACAUCUCACCGGCGCCCCGUACAGGUGGCCACCAGGCUGUUGGGUCCUAUGUGGUCCUGCUCUAGGGGCGCCAGACACAUUUCCUGCACUGGCCCCUGGAGGCAGAGCAAAAAGGCCCUUCAGGGUCACCUCUGCUAAGGUGAUCUACUAGUGGCAGGAGCAACGGCAUCAUGACCACCUGCCCAUGAAGGGGACCAUCCCUGAAAGGGCAUGGGUGUCCCUAUGACAGCUUGACAUGUGGUGGGAGCAACCAGCUUCUCCCACAGGUACUGGUCUCAUCUCACAGGGGCGCCCCAGCAUCUGCUCCAUCCUCUCUAGGCUGUGAGCACCAGGGAGGGAGGCCCCACAGUCCCUCUGAUGGUGACGACAGCAACUUAUUCAGUGGCGAUAAUCAUGGA